rnacentral:rRNA from 1 species
AUUGAACGCUGGCGGAAUGCUUUACACAUGCAAGUCGAACGGCAGCACGGGGGCAACCCUGGUGGCGAGUGGCGAACGGGUGAGUAAUACAUCGGAACGUGCCCGGUCGUGGGGGAUAACGUAGCGAAAGUUACGCUAAUACCGCAUACGAUCUGAGGAUGAAAGCGGGGGACCUUCGGGCCUCGCGCGAUCGGAGCGGCCGAUGUCAGAUUAGGUAGUUGGUGGGGUAAAGGCCUACCAAGCCGACGAUCUGUAGCUGGUCUGAGAGGACGACCAGCCACACUGGGACUGGAACACGGCCCAGACUCCUACGGGAGGCAGCAGUGGGGAAUUUUGGACAAUGGGCGCAAGCCUGAUCCAGCCAUUCCGCGUGCAGGACGAAGGCCUUCGGGUUGUAAACUGCUUUUGUAUGGAACGAAAAGGCUCUGGCUAAUACCUGGGGCUCAUGACGGUACCGUAAGAAUAAGCACCGGCUAACUACGUG